GUCCUGCCUCCGGGGAGCCUGCAUCCAGCAAAGCGAGGGACAGGGCAAUUCCUGCCUCAACUCGGACAUGUCUGAGACUCGCGUUGGAGGCCUUACAGAAACAGCUUUCUCUGCAAAGAGUCAAGGGUGACUGAGACUAUGGAAAGAGGCCACUGAAGAAGUGACUUUAAAAAAAAAAAAAAGGGCAG